rnacentral:rRNA from 1 species
AUGCUGGCGACCUUGCAGCAACAUUGCGGGGUGGUGCCGUCCGAGGUGGUCAUCGAGGUCGCGUGCCCACCACACGACCUGUGGCUGAUGUUCUCAACGGAGGAGAAGUGUUCUGAGGUGCUCCUGUCGUCAAUGAAGAUCAAGUGUUACCGGUGUUGGAUUCAGUUUUCGCGUUGGUGUAGAAUGGUUCGUGCUCAGCCAGGUGCUCUGGAGUACAAGUGCAAGCUCGGCUUAGAAGGCCUCCCUAACCAGGCCUGGACGACGACGUCCGUGAAAGAUGUUCUCAAGCAGCUGGGUGGCGAGCUGAUCAAGAUUCUGCCGCCGGCAAGCCGCCGUGAGCUUGAGGUAAUGGCGUGGCUUCAUGACCCUGCGUUUGUUGGCAAGGUGGUGAGAGUGGAGAUACCUGAGCCGAAGCUGACAAACAAGCCACCAGAGCCCAUGGAUGAGUAUGAAGCAAUGCAAUUUUAA